ACUCUCGUAGCUCAGUUGGUUAGAUCAUCCGCUUAGUAAGCGGAUGUUUUGAGUUCGAUUCUCAAUGAAAGUA